rnacentral:rRNA from 1 species
AUUGAACGCUGGCGGCAUGCCUUACACAUGCAAGUCGAACGGUAACAGGUCUUCGGAUGCUGACGAGUGGCGAACGGGUGAGUAAUACAUCGGAACGUGCCCGAGAGUGGGGGAUAACGAGGCGAAAGCUUUGCUAAUACCGCAUACGAUCUCAGGAUGAAAGCAGGGGACCGCAAGGCCUUGCGCUCACGGAGCGGCCGAUGGCAGAUUAGGUAGUUGGUGGGAUAAAAGCUUACCAAGCCGACGAUCUGUAGCUGGUCUGAGAGGACGACCAGCCAAACUGGGACUGAGACACGGCCCAGACUCCUACGGGAGGCAGCAGUGGGGAAUUUUGGACAAUGGGCGCAAGCCUGAUCCAGCCAUGCCGCGUACAGGAUGAAGGCCUUCGGGUUGUAAACUGCUUUUGUACGGAACGAAAAGACUCUGGUUAAUACCUGGGGUCCAUGACGGUACCGUAAGAAUAAGCACCGGCUAACUACGUGCCAGCCGCCGCCGUAAUAC